rnacentral:rRNA from 1 species
AUUGAACGCUGGCGGCAGGCCUAAUACAUGCAAGUCGAACGAGUGGUGGACGGGUGAGUAAUGUCUGGGAAAUUGCUCGAUGGAGGGGGAUAACUACUGGAAACGGUAGCUAAUACCGCAUACCAUCGGAUGUGCCCAGAUGGGAUUAGCUAGUAGGUGGGGUAAAGGCUCACCAAGGCGACGAUCCCUAGCUGGUCUGAGAGGAUGACCGGCCACACUGGAACUUAGACACGGUCCAGACUCCUACGGGAGGCAGCAGUGGGGAAUAUUGCGCAAUGGGCGCAAGCCUGAUGCAGCCAUGCCGCGUGAAUGAAGAAGGCCUUCGGAUUGUAAAGUACUUUCAGCGGGGAGGCGUUACCCGCAGAAGAAGCACCGGCUAACUCCGUGCCAGCAGCCGCGGUAAUAC